GGACCCGCACAAGUAGUGGAGCAUGUGGUUUAAUUCGAAGAUACGCGCAGAACCUUACCAACACUUGACAUGUUCGUCGCGACUCUAAGAGAUUAGAGUUUUCGGUUCGGCCGGACGAAACACAGGUGCUGCAUGGCUGUCGUCAGCUCGUGUCGUGAGAUGUUGGGUUAAGUCCCGCAACGAGCGCAACCCUCACUUUUAGUUGCCAGCGGUUCGGCCGGGGACUCUAAGAAGACUGCCAGCGCAAGCUGAGAGGAAGGUGGGGAUGACGUCAAAUCAUCACGGCCCUUACGUCCUGGGCUACACACGUGCUACAAUGGUAGAGACAGAGGGCAGCCACCUGGUGACAGGGAGCGAA
rnacentral:rRNA from 1 species